rnacentral:rRNA from 1 species
GAUGAACGCUGGCGGCGUGCCUAAUACAUGCAAGUCGAGCGAAGCGGGGACGGGUGAGUAACACGUGGAUAACCUCCUAUAAGACUGGGAUAACUUCGGGAAACCGGAGCUAAACCGGAUACUUACAGAUGGAUCCGCGCUGCAUUAGCUAGUUAGUAAGGUAACGGCUUACCAAGGCAACGAUGGAUAGCUGACCUGAGAGGGUGAGCGACCACACUUGAAACGAGACACGGUCCAUACUCCUACGAGAGGCAGAAGUAGGGAAUCUGCCGCAAUGGGCGAAAGCCUGACAGAGCAACGCGGCGUGAGUGAUGAAGGUCUUCGGAUCGUAAAACUCUGUUAUUAGAGAAGCGGUACCUAAUCAGAAAGCCACGGCUAACUACGUGCCAGCAGCCGCGGUAAUAC